rnacentral:rRNA from 1 species
GCUGGCGGCACGCCUAACACAUGCAAGUCGAACGAAGUAGCAAUACUUAGUGGCAGACGGGUGAGGAACAUGUGGGUAUCUGCCCUUUGGCCUGGAAUAACACGAGGAAACUUGUGCUAAUACCGGAUAAGUCUUUACGGAGAAAGCUUUAUGCACCAUUGGAUGAGCCCGCACUUGAUUAGUUUGUUGGUGGGGUAAUGGCCUACCAAGACUUUGAUCAAUAGCUGAUUUGAGAGGAUGAUCAGCCACAUUGGGACUGAGACACGGCCCAAACUCCUACGGGAGGCAGCAGUGGGGAAUCUUGCACAAUGGAGGAAACUCUGAUGCAGCGAUGCCGCGUGAGUGAAGAAGGCCUUUGGGUUGUAAAGCUCUUUCGUCGGGGAAGAAAAUGACUGUACCCGAAUAAGAAGGUCCGGCUAACUUCGUGCCAGCAGCCGCGGUAAUACGAAGGGACCUAGCGUAGUUCGGAAUUACUGGGCUUAAAGAGUUCGUAGGUGGUUGAAAAAGUUGGUGGUGAAAUCCCAGAGCUUAACUCUGGAACUGCCAUCAAAACUUUUCAGCUAGAGUUUGAUAGAGGAAAGCAGAAUUUCUAGUGUAGAGGUGAAAUUCGUAGAUAUUAGAAAGAAUACCAAUUGCGAAGGCAGCUUUCUGGAUCAUUACUGACGCUGAGGAACGAAAGCAUGGGUAGCGAAGAGGAUUAGAUACCCUCGUAGUCCAUGCCGUAAACGAUGUGUGUUAGACGUUGGAAAUUUAUUUUCAGUGUCGCAGCGAAAGCGAUAAACACACCGCCUGGGGAGUAC